AACGAACGCUGGCGGCAUGCCUAACACAUGCAAGUCGAACGAGAUCUUCGGGUCUAGUGGCGCACGGGUGCGUAACGCGUGGGAAUCUGCCCUUUGGUUCGGAAUAACAGUUGGAAACGACUGCUAAUACCGGAUGAUGACGAAAGUCCAAAGAUUUAUCGCCAGAGGAUGAGCCCGCGUAGGAUUAGCUAGUUGGUGUGGUAAAGGCGCACCAAGGCGACGAUCCUUAGCUGGUCUGAGAGGAAGAUCAGCCACACUGGGACUGAGACACGGCCCAGAGUCCUAGGGGGGGGAGCAGUGGGGAAUAUUGGACAAUGGGCGAAAGCCUGAUCCAGCAAUGCCGCGUGAGUGAUGAAGGCCUUAGGGUUGUAAAGCUCUUUUACCCGGGAUGAUAAUGACAGUAUCGGGAGAAUAAGCUCCGGCUAACUCCGUGCCAGCAGCCGCCGCAG
rnacentral:rRNA from 1 species